GUCUUGAAGAAAGAGUGUCUGGCUGCUCUGUGGAGACGGGACCAUAAGGGGUGAUGCCCAAGAGGAAUGGCUACCACCCAGGUGGAUGUGGCCUGGGUGGGGUGAGAGGUGCAGAUGGAGAGAGAUCCUACUUGUGGGAGGAGGGAAGGUCAACCUCGGGUGGAGAAUCCCCAGGGCCCUGGCAUCUCUGCCCUUUGAUAUGGAGCUAAGGGAACUCUGUAGGAGGCGGCAGUUUGGACCCAGCUGCUGCACAGGGUCCAGCCAACCAGACCAGACCGGAGGUCUCACACCACUGAGGAGGAGCCAGGAUCUUUAUGUGACUGCCAGAGACAUCAGGAGAAAGCCCACAGAAGCCGAAUCUCCAAACAGGCUGGUCCUAGCUGGCAUGGGGAAGCUGUUCAUGUUGUAUCCUGAGUGUUUUUCGAGAAAGCUUUGAUGAGAGAAAAAAGUCACACAGAAAGGUGCCCGCAUCACAAGUUUCCAGCUCCAUGGGUUUUUGCAAACUGAGCACACUCGUGGGCCAGCAGCGGGCCCCCAGCGAGGACGCCCUUCCUGCUGCUCCUGCCGCCCGCCCGAGGCACGGCAGGGGCUGUUUCUGGAAUGAUCUAGAAGACACAGAAGAAGUAACUGGCUUCACACAGGAAGUUCUGUGGCUAGGUGAACAAGCAGGACAAGCCAUGGAAAAGAGCUGUUUGCCUCCUGUGUUUUCUUUUCUUCUAGCUGCGAAAACGGGAGCCCAGGAUGUUCUUGAACAAGGUGGAAUCACCCCAAAUAAAAUGCCUCCUGCUGGUAAAACUCCGAGAACGCCCACUUCGCAUUUCCAGGCUCCGGGAUUGCCAUGCGUCUGCGAAUUCUACGACACAGCCAGUUCCCGCUGGGAGCUGAUCCAUUUUGUCUAA
rnacentral:lncRNA from 1 species